rnacentral:rRNA from 1 species
CAGUCGCCGCGGGAAUACGAAGGGGGCGAGCGUUGCUCGGAAUGACUGGGCGUAAAGGGCGCGUAGGUGGCGUGCACAGUCAGAUGUGAAAUUCCUGGGCUCAACCUGGGGGCUGCAUUUGAUACGUGCGUGCUAGAGUGUGGAAGAGGGUCGUGGAAUUCCCAGUGUAGAGGUGAAAUUCGUAGGUAUUGGGAAGAACACCGGUGGCGAAGGCGGCGACCUGGUCCAUUACUGACGCUGAGGCGCGAAAGCGUGGGGAGCAAACAGGAUUAGAUACCCCAGUAGUCCCUGUCUCUUAUAC